UACAGAGGGUGCGAGCGUUAAUCGGAAUUACUGGGCGUAAAGGGUGCGUAGGUGGUUUAGUAAGUUAGAUGUGAAAUCCCUGGGCUCAACCCAGGAAAUGCUUCGGAUACUGGCGUGCUUGAGGCCGGUAGGGGUCACUGGAACUGACGGUGGAGCGGUGAAAUGCGUAGAUAUCGUCAGGAACGCCAAUGGUGAAGACAGGUGACUGGGCCGGAUCUGACACUGAGGCACGAAAGCGUGGGGAGCGAACGGG
rnacentral:rRNA from 1 species